AUGCUACUCCCUCCGUCCAUAAAUUCUUGUCUUAUAUUUGUCUAGAUACGGAUGUAUCUAAUACUAAAAUGUGACUUGAUACAUCCGUAUUUAGACAAAUCUAAGACAAGAAUUUUGGGACUGAGGGAGUAGUAU
rnacentral:pre_miRNA from 1 species